GACAGAGGAGCCAAGCGUUGUCCGGAUUGACUGGGCGUAAAGCGCACGCAGGCGGCCCGGCGCGUGGGGUGUGAAAGCUGGCGGCUUAACUGCCAGAUGCCAUCCCAUACGGCUGGGCUCGAGCCCUGCAGAGGUCCGAUGGAAUUGCCGGUGUAGUGGUGAAAUGCGUAGAGAUCGGCAGGAACACCCAGGGGGGAAACCAGUGGGACAUGG
rnacentral:rRNA from 1 species